GCCAGUGUGGCAUAGCUGUUUGAGCACUGGACUAUGACUCUGGAGACCAGGGUUUGAAUCCCAGCUUAUCCA